AGAACUGCAGAUAGUACAGCUUCCACAGGAGCAAGGGAUGUCUGAGCACAAGUGGCUGAGUUCCGAGUGACUUUAUGAAGCACUUUCUACCUUCCUCUCCGGCAUGAAAACAGGGAUUCUGCACCUGCAUCAUGGACAGUCUGGCAAAAGCCUCUGCUCUGCCUCCGGGGACAAGAAACUAGAGCAAAUAACCGUUUUGAAAUUGUAAGUAUACCUUUCUUUCCGUCAAGUGUACUGAUUAAAAUAGUUUUAUGUCAUAAACAUCCAAUAUUUGAAGAUUUCUUAAGGGUACUCUUUCAUGUGUAUAUUGAAGGUUAUUCAGCUGGCAGGAAAAUAUUCCAGGGACAAUUGUUGCAUACUUUAUUCUGUUGAGGAUAAAGAAUUAAAAAUAAAAGUCAGGCAUUCCAAAGAGUAGCUGUAGGAGGCUGUGCGCUGGAACAUCGCUCUAGUGUGCUGCUUUGUUCAUAAGAAAAAAUGAAGGCACACGCAUAUGUACUUAGUUCACUUCUUUUUGCUCUUUAUGUCUAAUCAGAUUUGCUCUGUCCCCAAGAAAAAUAAAAGACAAACUUUGCUGACUCCACUGACAAGGGCACCAUAGACUUUCCAGACAUCUGACAGUUAUUAUAAUUAGCUAUGAAAGACUGCAAAGACACUUGGGGGCAAAUAGCUCUUAAAUUCUGAACAAUGGCUUCAAGCCAGGGCUUUAUAUGUUUUUUUAACCACCACUUUUAAUUUUAUAAUAAGGAUAGAGACUGAACUGGUUUCGGUGUUGUAGUCCACACAAUGUGAAAUAAAGUCCCAGCAGAAGUGAAGGCGACUGAAAGUGGCCAGUGUAAAGACAGAAGGAAAAGACAGCUUUCUGUCUUAGGAUCUAGCCUUCCAUGUAUAAAGAUUUUUUUUUUUUUUGAAAUUCCUAAUAGGGUGGAGUGAGGAUGUGGGGGUGGGGAGGAAGCAUGCGGAAGCUUCUUUAUAGAAGAAUGCUUGAAGAAUAAAAUAAUUUGGCAUUUCUUCUUUCUAGCAAGCAAAAGAUAUGAUUAGCAUCUAAGUUCCUUACAUUCAUAGUGAGGUUUUUUGAUGGAGUUCAAACAGAAGCAACAUACAAUGCAGUUUUUAAAUUUAUAAAAUAAUUGGAAACAAAUGGAUAGAAUGUUCCUGCAUUACUGCUUUCUUUUUAUAUUCAGCUACAGUAAUCUAGCAAUACAUUAUGCCUUUACUUUUAGAAUUAUCCACAUCCUUAAAAAGUUAUAAGCUAAGUCUUAUAAGAAAUUAAAAGGCAAAUCACACCAGUGUGAUUAUGACUGAUGAAGAUUUUGAAUGACAAAGCCUCCAACAAAAAGAGUUUGUGAAAAACAUUGUCCUCCUCAUUUUUAAAAGAGAAUAUUAACUCCAUCAAUUAUUGAAAGGAAUUAUUCAAAGGCUCCAGACAUAACUAAUUAUGGCUUAAAGAGAGCUGCCAGAGCAGAGCCUGUGUUCUAAUUAUAAAAGUCCAAGACGUUAGGAUUCAUUUUCUUAAGGAGGGCUUGAAAAUAAAUACAAAUUUUCACAUAAUCUUAUAAAAAUACACCAUUUUUUUUCUUUGUCUGCUCUCAUGUUAUCUACACCUCCCCCACCGCCGCCCACUGUGUGCUGAGACACCUGAAGGCUAGACAUAAUGAUCAACAGAGCUCCAGCCUGUCUGGACUCCAGCCAGAUUUUUUUCCCCUUCUACAAUCAAGGAGCUUGCACGCAAUGCAUGCCGAGCCUAUUCCACUGCUAUGUGCAGAUCCGGGAUGGAAGUCUUACACAUACUGCGGAAAGAUUAAAGACAACAAUAUCCCCUUUCUCUUACCCUAGACAGCCUCAAUUUUUAACCCUUUCAUUACCUUUGAAACCAAGACGUCUUACCCAUUCAAAGGCAGGUCUCAAGGGACUUUGCAACUCCCGCACCACAUCAUACAGAUGCACAUGCCUCAUUUGGUGUAGAAAUCUCAUCUCAACAGAUCUUAUCAGAAUAUUUUAGGAACUAAUAGUGUGCUAACUAAACAUAAUGUAAUUUGUUUGUGUGGGGAAUGCAUGUUUGAAUGAACUUAUGCUGCAUGAAAUCUGGAACAAGUCAAAGGUCUGUCGAAAGAUUCUUGCAAACCUUGCAGAAGGUUAUAUACCAUUUCUGAUGAUGCUGUUCUUUAAGCAUCUUUCUCUCUCUCUCUCCUCACACACACACAUACAUACACACAUACUCGCUCUCUUUUCUCUUUCUCUAUCUCAAGAUGCACACACUCAACCAGGAAAUUAUAUCAUUAUAUCACAGAGAAAUCCAGGUUAGCUGGUGAUGUCAUCAUAUAUAAAAUUUUGCCUUUGUGGGCAACAUUUUCAAUCACCUAAUCGCUAAUGUAUGUUGGGUGUGUGCCCAUAGGAAGUUCACGUGCUCGUGGGGUUAACCGACACCCACAGGAAAGGACUAUUUUAUUCGCAGCUAUCUUUCUUUUGAAGAUGUGUUUAUGGGGCAGGAUGGGUAUGUUUAUCAAGAUAGAUGUAGUCAGAGUUUCCUGGUUCUAGGAAGCCUUAUUAAUAUGCUGUUUGAACAUUUGAAAGGUGGCUGAAUUUCAAUGAUAUAAAUAGGAUGUAGAAAUGGUGAGCAUUUUGAAAUCAAGUUGGAUAAAAAUGCUACAAUACUUCA
rnacentral:lncRNA from 1 species